rnacentral:rRNA from 1 species
AGAGUUUGAUCCUGGCUCAGGACGAGCGCUGGCGGCGUGCCUAAUACAUGCAAGUCGAGCGGACAGAUGGGAGCUUGCUCCCUGAUGUUAGCGGCGGACGGGUGAGUAACACGUGGGUAACCUGCCUGUAAGACUGGGAUAACUCCGGGAAACCGGGGCUAAUACCGGAUGGUUGUUUGAACCGCAUGGUUCAAACAUAAAAGGUGGCUUCGGCUACCACUUACAGAUGGACCCGCGGCGCAUUAGCUAGUUGGUGAGGUAAUGGCUCACCAAGGCAACGAUGCGUAGCCGACCUGAGAGGGUGAUCGGCCACACUGGGACUGAGACACGGCCCAGACUCCUACGGGAGGCAGCAGUAGGGAAUCUUCCGCAAUGGACGAAAGUCUGACGGAGCAACGCCGCGUGAGUGAUGAAGGUUUUCGGAUCGUAAAGCUCUGUUGUUAGGGAAGAACAAGUACCGUUCGAAUAGGGCGGUACCUUGACGGUACCUAACCAGAAAGCCACGGCUAACUACGUGCCAGCAGCCGCGGUAAUACGUAGGUGGCAAGCGUUGUCCGGAAUUAUUGGGCGUAAAGGGCUCGCAGGCGGUUUCUUAAGUCUGAUGUGAAAGCCCCCGGCUCAACCGGGGAGGGUCAUUGGAAACUGGGGAACUUGAGUGCAGAAGAGGAGAGUGGAAUUCCGCGUGUAGCGGUGAAAUGCGUAGAGAUGUGGAGGAACACCAGUGGCGAAGGCGACUCUCUGGUCUGUAACUGACGCUGAGGAGCGAAAGCGUGGGGAGCGAACAGGAUUAGAUACCCUGGUAGUCCACGCCGUAAACGAUGAGUGCUAAGUGUUAGGGGGUUUCCGCCCCUUAGUGCUGCAGCUAACGCAUUAAGCACUCCGCCUGGGGAGUACGGUCGCAAGACUGAAACUCAAAGGAAUUGACGGGGGCCCGCACAGGCGGUGGAGCAUGUGGUUUAAUUCGAAGCAACGCGAAGAACCUUACCAGGUCUUGACAUCCUCUGACAAUCCUAGAGAUAGGACGUCCCCUUCGGGGGCAGAGUGACAGGUGGUGCAUGGUUGUCGUCAGCUCGUGUCGUGAGAUGUUGGGUUAAGUCCCGCAACGAGCGCAACCCUUGAUCUUAGUUGCCAGCAUUCAGUUGGGCACUCUAAGGUGACUGCCGGUGACAAACAGGAGGAAGGUGGGGAUGACGUCAAAUCAUCAUGCCCCUUAUGACCUGGGCUACACACGUGCUACAAUGGACAGAACAAAGGGCAGCGAAACCGCGAGGUUAAGCCAAUCCCACAAAUCUGUUCUCAGUUCGGAUCGCAGUCUGCAACUCGACUGCGUGAAGCUGGAAUCGCUAGUAAUCGCGGACCAGCAUGCCGCGGUGAAUACGUUCCCGGGCCUUGUACACACCGCCCGUCACACCACGAGAGUUUGUAACACCCGAAGUCGGUGAGGUAACCUUUUAGGGGCCAGCCGCCGAAGGUGGGACAGAUGAUUGGGGUGAAGUCGUAACAAGGUA